rnacentral:rRNA from 1 species
GAAGGUGGCAAGCGUUGUUCGGAUUCACUGGGCGUACAGGGGAGCGUAGGGCGGUUGGGGUAAGCCCUCCGUGAAAUCUCCGGGCCUAACCCGGAAAGUGCAGAGGGGACUGCUCGGCUUGAGGACGGGAGAGGAGCGCGGAAUUCCCGGUGUAGCGGUGAAAUGCGUAGAGAUCGGGAGGAAGGCCGGUGGCGAAGGCGGCGCUCUGGAACGUUUCUGACGCUGAGGCUCGAAAGCGUGGGGAGCAAACAGGAUUAGAUACCCUGGUAGUCCACGCCUUAAACUAUGGAUACUAAGUGUCGGCGGGUUACCGCCGGUGCCGCAGCUAACGCAGUAAGUAUCCCGCCUGGGAAGUACGGCCGCAAGGUUG